rnacentral:rRNA from 2 species
UGGGGAAUAUUGCACAAUGGGCGAAAGCCUGAUGCAGCAACGCCGCGUGAGCGAUGAAGGCCUUUGGGUCGUAAAGCUCUGUCCUUGGGGAAGAAAAAAAUGACGGUACCCUUGGAGGAAGCCCCGGCUAACUACGUGCCAGCAGCCGCGGUAAUACGUAGGGGGCAAGCGUUAUCCGGAAUUAUUGGGCGUAAAGAGUGCGUAGGUGGUUUUGUAAGCGCGAGGUGAAAGGCAAUAGCUCAACUAUUGUAAGCCUUGCGAACUGCAAGACUUGAGUGCAGGAGAGGAAAGUGGAAUUCCUAGUGUAGCGGUGAAAUGCGUAGAUAUUAGGAGGAACACCAGUGGCGAAGGCGACUUUCUGGACUGUAACUGACACUGAGGCACGAAAGCGUGGGGAGCAAACA